AGGGAUUGCCCUAGUAACGGCGAGUGAAGCGGCAACAGCUCAAAUUUGAAAUCUGGCCUCGGCCCGAGUUGUAAUUUGCAGAGGAUGCUUCUGGCGCGGUGCCUUCCGAGUUCCCUGGAACGGGACGCCACAGAGGGUGAGAGCCCCGUACGGUCGGACACCAAGCCUGUGUGAAGCUCCUUCGACGAGUCGAGUAGUUUGGGAAUGCUGCUCUAAAUGGGAGGUAAAUCUCUUCUAAAGCUAAAUACCGGCCAGAGACCGAUAGCGCACAAGUAGAGUGAUCGAAAGAUGAAAAGCACCUUGAAAAGGGGGUUAAAUAGUACGUGAAAUUGUUGAAAGGGAAGCACUUAUGACCAGACUUGGGCCGGGCGGCUCAUCAGGGGUUCUCCCCUGUGCACUCCGCCCGGCACAGGCCAGCAUCGGUUCUCGUGGGGGGAUAAGACCGUCAGGAACGUAGCACCCUCCGGGGUGUGUUAUAGCCUGGCGGACGAUACCCCCGUGGGGACCGAGGUCCGCGCUCCGCAAGGAUGCUGGCGUAAUGGUCAUCAGUGACCCGUCUUGAAACACGGACCAAGGAGUCGUCCAUUAGAGCGAGCGUUUGGGUGUAAAACCCGCACGCGUAAUGAAAGUGAACGCAGGUGAGAGCUUCGGCGCAUCAUCGACCGAUCCUGAUGUUCUCGGAAGGAUUUGAGUAAGAGUUUUAACGGACGGACCCGAAAGACAGUGAACUAUGCUUGUAUAGGGUGAAGCCAGAGGAAACUCUGGUGGAGGCUCGCAGCGGUUCUGACGUGCAAAUCGAUCGUCAAAUAUGAGCAUGGGGGCGAAAGACUAAUCGAACU
rnacentral:rRNA from 1 species